AGCUAAUACCGCAUAACGUCNCAAGACCAAAGAGGGGGACCUUCGGGCCUCUUGCCAUCNGAUGUGCCCAGAUGGGAUUAGCUAGUAGGUGGGGUAACGGCUCACCUAGGCGACGAUCCCUAGCUGGUCUGAGAGGAUGACCAGCCACACUGGAACUGAGACACGGUCCAGACUCCUACGGGAGGCAGCAGUGGGGAAUAUUGCACAAUGGGCGCAAGCCUGAUGCAGCCAUGCCGCGUGUAUGAAGAAGGCCUUCGGGUUGUAAAGUACUUUCAGCGGGGAGGAAGGGAGUAAAGUUAAUACCUUUGCUCAUUGACGUUACCCGCAGAAGAAGCACCGGCUAACUCCGUGCCAGCAGCCGCGGUAAUACGGAGGGUGCAAGCGUUAAUCGGAAUUACUGGGCGUAAAGCGCACGCAGGCGGUUUGUUAAGUCAGAUGUGAAAUCCCCGGGCUCAACCUG
rnacentral:rRNA from 1 species